rnacentral:lncRNA from 1 species
AACCAACCAACCAACCAACCAACCAAUCAAUCACUUAAUGUAUGUUUCCGUGUCAUGCGUUUAAUACGGGAUGCAAGGUCUGUUGAGGUCUUUUUCCCCUUGUUCUAAGUGACCCUAUCAAACGUGUUUAAUCAACCAACCAACCAACCAACAAACCAACCAACCAACCAAUCAAUCAACCAACUUAUCAAUCAAUCAAUAUGUAUGACUGUUUAUUUAUGACAGUAUAUUGAAGGAACAAACUCUCAAUUAUUCAAGAAAAUUUUUAUUUUAUUAUUGUUCUUACGUCUCUUCUGAAAAAAAAUCCACAUAUUCUCUGAAACUACAAGUCCAAUCGACCUGAAAAUUUGCAGUCAGCAGGGCAUACAUGUACUGAAGGUUCAUAAAAAAACUUUUUGCAGAUAUCUCUCAAGACUUUUCCUAGAAAAAAGAAAUGGCAAUGCCGUAAAAAUCGCUUGCUAGGUCCGUCAAUCUCAGUAAAAACCUACAAUAAAAUGUCCGCUCCGAGAUUGAAAUACUAAUCUGUGUUACAAACAGGUGCUGAAAAAUGUACAUUAUCAGAAAAUAAUCCUUAAAUGUGUUUUAAAGUUACACCGGAUCGAUUAAAUCCAAAACAUGCACUGCUGGUGAACUGUGAUCAAAAUGUCAAUUUCCUACAAUGACAAAAGAAAUUACAUUGUGUACAUUCCAUCUCUAGACAUGUUGUCUGUUCAAGGUCCCGACCUAAAAAGAAAUUAAAAGACUAAGUUUUUCUUAAUAUAAACCCGCGUCACGUGAUGUCUCCUCAAUAUUGCGCGCGCGCUGUAUCUAAAAUAAAAGAAAAACUUUCCAAACUAAACAUGAAACUUCUCCGGUAACAUAAUAAUAUAGACCCUUUACAAAACAAACAAACAAACAAAUACCCCCCCCUUUUUUUCCAAAUCAAUCAAUAAAAAAAAACAAUUAUCCAUUCAUCAGAGGGGAAAGACUGCCUAACAAUUGUUUUCAAAACAAUUGCUUUAUAUUUGUAUUAAUUUU